UGGUCAGUAAGCUUGUCUGGGUGGUCAUUCAGCUAGCCAGUCUGGCAAUUAUAUAUAAAAUCAAUUUACAUCACAUUUAAUAAACACACAUCACAUGAUACAAGUGUGUCUCUAGGAUAGUCCUGGCCAGUGCCUCAGAUAACCAAAAAGAUGGUCUCAGUUGAUACUAGAAUCAUUCCAUGCACAAUAUGUCUGUGACCAUAAACCCACAUGCAGGCCAUGAUAUGGGCAACGCAACAUACAACACAGUAGAUCCACACGCGGGGCACGAUAUGGGAAGCGGUAGUAUCGGAGACCCCCACGCAGGACACAACAUGGGCAGUGAUCUAGGAAUGAACAUGAACCAUGAUAUGAAGAUGUAUUUCCACACAGGAGUUAUGGAGACAAUAUUGUUCUAUCAGUGGCAGACACAUAC